UACGAGGGGUGCAAGCGUCAUUCGGAAUGACUGGGCGUAAAGGGUGCGUAGACGGCACGUUAAGUCUUUUGUUAAAUACCUCAGCCUAACUGGGGAUCAGCAGGGGAAACUGGCGAGCUUGAGAUUGGAAGAGAGAAGUGGAAUUCUCGGAGUAGCGGUAAAAUGCGUAGAUCUCGAGAGGAACACCAAUGGCGAAGGCAGCUUCUUGGUCCAAUUCUGACGUUGAGGCACGAAAGCGUGGGGAGCAAACAGG
rnacentral:rRNA from 1 species